rnacentral:pre_miRNA from 1 species
AAAUUGAUGCGUUCAGAGUGUACAGAUGUGGAUAUAGAAGGGUUAGUUAGUAAACAGUACGAAGCCCAUCUAAUAGAGAUUCCAUGAGAGGCAUUUUAUUGCAAGAUGUUGGCUGUUCGAGAUCAAGCGACUGUGUUCGAGCAGUGCAUUUUAAUGGCAAUACUCAUUAAAUGGGUUGCCUGUUUUUUCUUUACCAGCCCUUCUGCUAUCCACAACAGUACUAAUUUGUCCACAUCAAUUU